rnacentral:rRNA from 1 species
AGCUAGUUGGUAGGGUAAUGGCCUACCAAGGCGACGAUAAGUAGCCGGCCUGAGAGGGUGACCGGCCACAUUGGGACUGAGACACGGCCCAAACUCCUACGGGAGGCAGCAGCUAAGAAUCUUCCGCAAUGGGCGCAAGCCUGACGGAGCGACGCCGCGUGGACGAAGAAUGCCGAGAGGUUGUAAAGUCCUUUUAUAUGCGAAGAAUAAUGUCUUUAGGUAAUGAUAGACAGAUGACGUUAGCAUAUGAAUAAGCUCCGGCCAAUUACGUGCCAGCAGCCGCGGUAACACGUAAGGAGCGAGCGUUGUUCGGAAUUAUUGGGCGUAAAGGGCAUGUAGGCGGUUAUAUAAGUCUGAUGUGAAAUCCCACAGCUUAACUGUGGAUCCGCAUUGGAAACUGUAUGACUUGAAUCAGUAAGGGGUAACCGGAAUUCCUAGUGUAGGGGUGAAAUCUGUUGAUAUUAGGAAGAACACCGAUGGCGAAGGCAGGUUACUGGUACAUGAUUGACGCUGAGAUGCGAAAGCGUAGGGAGCGAACAGGAUUAGAUACCCUGGUAGUCUACGCUGUAAACGAUGUGCACUUGGUGUCGGGGUUUCUAAGCCUCGGUGCCGUAGCUAACGCGUUAAGUGCACCGCCUGGGGAGUAUGCCGGCAACGGUGAAACUCAAAGGAAUUGACGGGGGCCCGCACAAGCGGUGGAGCAUGUGGUUUAAUUCGAUGAUACGCGAGAAACCUUACCAGGGUUUGACAUAUUUAUGGUCGACGUAGAGAUACGUAAUUCCCUUCGGGGACAUUUAUACAGGUGCUGCAUGGUUGUCGUCAGCUCGUGCCGUGAGGUGUUGGGUUAAGUCCCGCAACGAGCGCAACCCCUAUUGUCUGUUACCAUCAUUAAGUUGGGGACUCAGGCAAGACUGCCGGUGACAAACCGGAGGAAGGUGGGGACGACGUCAAAUCAUCAUGGCCCUUAUAUCCUGGGCUACACACGUGCUACAAUGGCCAGUACAGAGUGAAGCGAAGCCGCGAGGUGGAGCAAAACGCAGAAAGCUGGUCUCAGUUCGGAUUGGAGUCUGAAACUCGACUCCAUGAAGGUGGAAUCGCUAGUAAUCGCGCAUCAGCAUGGCGCGGUGAAUACGUUCCCGGGCCUUGUACACACCGCCCGUCACACCACCCGAGUUGGGGGUACCCGAAGUCGUUAGCUUAACC